AAAACAGAAUUAGGUUUGCUAGGGCAUGUGCUGAUUGAAUUUGGUGUAAUUGAUAAGGUGGAUAAAUGGCAAGUGCAGUAAAUGAGCACCGGCCGUGUAAGAGAAUCCGGUGCCCAAGGGCUAUAGUGAAAGCUAAAACUGAGAUGCAUUGGUGGUCGUACAAGGAAUAACAUGCGGCAGUGAUGGUGAGAAGGAACAUUGACACUGAUGAAUUGUCUAAAAUAGAAAAUGAAAAAUCAUUGAAAGAUAUGUCUGACUUUACUGUUUCAGAAAACCUACAUAACAGACAGGCACAGUUCAGCAUGCAUGUGUAUGUGUCUGAGUGGGUGAAUGAGGGUGCGUGUUUGCUAGUCAUGAUGACGGUUCCACUUCCAUUUUUUUUUUCUGUAUUGUUUCCUUGUUUCCAUCUGUUAGCUCCUUCAAGUCUUAUGAACUUAAGUUACGGAUGCACAGAUGGUUGUCAGCCAGUGACUUGAAAAAGGUGGCCCUCUUUGGAUGUCCUUCGCUCGGAAGGAAAAAUGUCUUUUCUGCUAAAAGCUUGCGCAAUUUUUUCAGAAUUCAAGAAGACACCGUAUGCAGUAAAUGCGUCUUGAAAUCAUCAUGCAAGUUUGUGAAUCAGAGUGUAUGGAAAGGCAAUAACAACAAUUUGAAUUUGGCUGUUGUAAUGAGGGUCAUACGUUUGUACGCCAUGGAAUCUGUUCCUCCACAGUUGGUAGUGCCUGACGAGAUAAAGGCUUCUGUUAGUGUAUUGCUGAAGGAGGUUCUGAACCUAAGCCAAACUCACGCAUAAAGCUUUUUGACGGUUCCAUAUAUAAAGUGGUCUUUCAGUAUUGUCAGUAUUCUGAUGCACAAAUCUAGGAGAUGAAGUGUGAUGAUCAAUUUCUACGUUGUUAAUAACUCAUGCGGAGAACAAUGCAAAAGAUUGUUGUGAGUUACAUUACAUCUAUGAAUGAUAUUCGAGGGGUUGGUCAUUUUGCUUGCCAAAAAUAUGUGAAAAGGGGCUCCUCUGUUGGAUUGUGGAAGUGUCAUCUUGGAUUGGCUGGUUAGUGAACUUCAUAAAUGCUUUAGUUAUUUAUGUCUUAUCAAAAAAAAA